CGAUUGCGUAAUUUGGCGCAUGUUGAUUAAAGUCGGUUAAAAGCCAAUAAAAAUGUUAUUGAAUUUCCAGCCGAUGGAACUACCAAGAAGGCACGGAACCAGUGUAUAUAUAUUGGAGGAAUAGAAAACAAUGGCGGACACAAAAUCUGAUGCUAUGACUGCGGAACAGUUACAAGAUUUCAAAGCAUCGUUCAGCUUGUUUGACCGGGAUGGAGAUGGCCGUGUAAGCAAAGAUGAACUACGCACCGCAAUGAGGAGUCUUGGUCAGAACCCUACAGAGCAAGAUUUAGAUGACAUCAUGAUGGAAGUCGACAA
rnacentral:lncRNA from 1 species